rnacentral:rRNA from 1 species
ACUCCCUACGGGGCGCAGCAGUGAGGAAUAUUGGUCAAUGGCCGAGAGGCUGAACCAGCCAAGUAGCGUGCAGGAUGACGGCCCUCGUGGUUGUAAACUUCUUUUAUAAAGGAAUAAAGUGAGGCACGUGUGCCUUUUUGUAUGUACUUUAUGAAUAAGGAUCGGCUAACUCCGUGCCAGCAGCCGCGGUAAUACGGAGGAUCCGAGCGUUAUCCGGAUUUAUUGGGUUUAAAGGGAGCGUAGAUGGGUUGUUAAGUCAGUUGUGAAAGUUUGCGGCUCAACCGUAAAAUUGCAAUUGAUACUGG